rnacentral:rRNA from 1 species
UGUAAGCGUAUACCAAAGUUGUUGCAGUUAAAACGCUCGUAGUCGGAAUUUGGCAGUUCCGGAAGUGUGCACGUCGUGUGCGCACUCUGCGGGGACUGCUUUUGUGGUCUUGCGUAGGAUGAGGCACUUUCAUUAGUGAACGUCCUCACGCAACCACUCUUUACUGUGAGAAAAUCAGAGUGCUCAAAGCAGGCAUUUGCCGUGAAUGUAUUAGCAUGGAAUAAUAGAAUAGGACUCGGUUCUAUUUUGUUGGUUUGUUGGGACUGAGUAAUGAUUAAGAGGGACAGUUGGGGGCAUUUGUAUUCCGGCGCUAGAGGUGAAAUUCUUAGAUUGCCGGAAGACAAACUGCUGCGAAAGCGUCUGCCAAGGAUGUUUUCAUUGA